GGUGAACGCUGGCGGUAGGCCUAACACAUGCAAGUCGAACGGCAGCACAGUAAGAGCUUGCUCUUACGGGUGGCGAGUGGCGGACGGGUGAGGAAUACAUCGGAAUCUACUUUUUCGUGGGGGAUAACGUAGGGAAACUUACGCUAAUACCGCAUACGACCUACGGGUGAAAGCAGGGGAUCUUCGGACCUUGCGCGAUUGAAUGAGCAGAUGUCGGAUUAGCUAGUUGGCUGGGUAAAGGCCCACCAAGGCGACGAUCCGUAGCUGGUCUGAGAGGAUGGGCAGCCACACUGGAACGGAGACACGGUCCGGACUCCUCCGGGAGGGAACAGUGGGGAAAAUUGGACAAGGGGCGCAAGCCUGAUCCAGUCAUACCGCGUGGCUUAAGAAGGCCUUCGGGUUGUAAAGCCCUUCUGUUGGUAAAAAAAAGCAGCAGGUUAAUACCCCGCUGUGCUGACGGUACCCAAAGAAUAAGCACCGGCUAACUUCGUG
rnacentral:rRNA from 1 species